rnacentral:rRNA from 1 species
CAAGGUUUCCGUAGGUGAACCUGCGGAAGGAUCAUUACAGAGUUCAUGCCCGAAAGGGUAGACCUCCCACCCUUGUGUAUUAUUACUUUGUUGCUUUGGCGAGCUGCUCUUCGGGGCCUUGUAUGCUCGCCAGAGAAUAUCAAAACUCUUUUUAUUAAUGUCGUCUGAGUACUAUAUAAUAGUUAAAACUUUCAACAACGGAUCUCUUGGUUCUGGCAUCGAUGAAGAACGCAGCGAAAUGCGAUAAGUAAUGUGAAUUGCAGAAUUCAGUGAAUCAUCGAAUCUUUGAACGCACAUUGCGCCCCUUGGUAUUCCGGGGGGCAUGCCUGUUCGAGCGUCAUUUCAACCCUCAAGCUCAGCUUGGUAUUGAGUCCAUGUCAGUAAUGGCAGGCUCUAAAAUCAGUGGCGGCGCCCUGGGUCCUGAACGUAGUAAUAUCUCUCGUUACAGGUUCUCGGUGUGCUUCUGCCAAAACCCAAAUUUUCUAUGGUUGACCUCGGAUCAGGUAGGGAUACCCGCUGAACUUAAGC